AUUUAAAUAGUUUAAUUAAGAUAUUGAUUUGUGGAAUCAAAGAUAUAAUAAUAAGUGUUAUUUUAAAUA
rnacentral:tRNA from 1 species